GACGAACGCUGGCGGCGUGCUUAACACAUGCAAGUCGAACGGAAAGGCCCUGCUUUUGUGGGGUGCUCGAGUGGCGAACGGGUGAGUAACACGUGAGUAACCUGCCCUUGACUUUGGGAUAACUUCAGGAAACUGGGGCUAAUACCGGAUAGGAGCUCCUGCUGCAUGGUGGGGGUUGGAAAGUUUCGGCGGUUGGGGAUGGACUCGCGGCUUAUCAGCUUGUUGGUGGGGUAGUGGCUUACCAAGGCUUUGACGGGUAGCCGGCCUGAGAGGGUGACCGGCCACAUUGGGACUGAGAUACGGCCCAGACUCCUACGGGAGGCAGCAGUGGGGAAUAUUGCACAAUGGGCGGAAGCCUGAGGCAGCAACGCCGCGUGCGGGAUGACGGCCUUCGGGUUGUAAACCGCUGUCGCCUGUGACGAAGCGUGAGUGACGGUAAUGGGUAAAGAAGCACCGGCUAACUACGUG
rnacentral:rRNA from 1 species